AACGAACGCUGGCGGCGCGUCUUAAGCAUGCAAGUCGAACGGCAAGAGAGGAGCUUGCUUCUCUCCUAGAGUGGCGGACUGGUGAGGAACACGUGGGUAAUCUACCCUUAAGAUGGUGACAGCUGCUAGAAAUAGCAGGUAAUACCGAAUACACUCGGCAUAUCACAAGAGGUGUUGAGGAAAGGAAGCUACGGCUUCGCUUUAGGAUGAGCUUGCGUCCUAUUAGCUAGUUGGUGGGGUAAAGGCCCACCAAGGCGACGAUGGGUAUCCGGCCUGAGAGGGUGAACGGACACAUUGGAACUGAGACACGGCCCAAACUCCUACGGGAGGCAGCAGCUAAGAAUAUUCCGCAAUGGACGGAAGUCUGACGGAGCGACGCCGCGUGGAUGAAGAAGGCUGAAAAGUUGUAAAAUCCUUUUGUUGAUGAAGAAGAAGGGUGAGAGGGAAUGCUCAUCUGAUGACGGUAAUCGACGAAUAAGCCCCGGCUAAUUACGUG
rnacentral:rRNA from 1 species